GGCUCAAUUUCCCCAAUAUUUUAGAAAAUACAGCAAGAAUAGAUAUGGGUUUGUAGUUUAAUGCACACAUUUCACCACCUUUUGCAUUGGGAACACUAUUUUUCCAUUUACCAUAUUGUGGGCAAGGGCGUUGCUAGUUUUCAAGAUUGAGUCCAAAGGAAAGCUCAACAGACUACUGACUACUACACUAACAGAGAAGUGUCAUGACAUUUCCACGCAUUUUCAUUUUAUGUCCUGUCCUCUCUACAUAUGAACAGUAUGUUGCUGAUGCCCUUCAGGAUCUCAAUAAAAGUACAGGCUGAAACAAGCGCUUACUGCACAGCAAGCUAUUCAAGGUAAUCCGCAUGCUAUCUAAUAGAGGGCAAUCUUGCUAGUAGAAUGCAUUUAAAAUGGUGUGCUGGAGCAUACUAUUGACCACUCCCACCUCCUCAUUUUUUUGUGUUUAGGAAGGCAGCACAGGCAACAAAUUAGUUGUUAAAACAGAUUGUUAUGCAAACUAGUAUUUUAUGAUCUUAUGAUUUUGGAUUUUAUGCAUGUGGGCUGAGAAUAUAAUGGGAUUUUUUUUUUUAUUCUUUAUU